rnacentral:misc_RNA from 1 species
GUGAAUCAUCAAAUCUUUGAACGCAAAUUGCACUCUCUGGUAUUCCGGAGAGUAUGCCUGUUUGAGGGUCAUUUUAACUAAAAUUCGGUGUGGUCGCUGUCUUUCGUGGUGACGCACCGGCUGUGGGUCGUCUUGCCUUCGGUUACGUGACCUAGAAUUUUGCAUGAUUUUUUCGAACGUAUUUAAAUGA